rnacentral:rRNA from 1 species
CUGACACAGGGAGGUAGUGACAAUAAAUAACAAUGCCGGGCCUUUGUAGGUCUGGCAAUUGGAAUGAGAACAAUUUAAACCCCUUAUCGAGUAUCAAUUGGAGGGCAAGUCUGGUGCCAGCAGCCGCGGUAAUUCCAGCUCCAAUAGCGUAUAUUAAAGUUGUUGCAGUUAAAAAGCUCGUAGUUGGAUUUGUGGUGUACGCAGGCGGCCUGUCACAAUGUGUCGGAGCUUGCUUGCGUCGCCAUCCUUGGGUGGAUCCUGUGUGGCAUUCAGUUGUCGUGCAGGGGAUGCCCAUCGUUUACUGUGAAAAAUUAGAGUGUUCAAAGCAGGCUUAUGCCGUUGAAUAUAUUAGCAUGGAAUAAUAAGAUAGGACUUUUGAGUCUAUUUUGUUGGUUUGCGAGUCAAAGUAAUGAUUAAUAGGGACAGUUGGGGGUAUUCGUAUUUCAUUGUCAGAGGUGAAAUUCUUGGAUUUCUGAAAGACGAACUACUGC